UACGAAGGGUGCGAACGUUAUUCGGAUUUAUUGGGCGUAAAGGGUACGCAGGCGGUGCGUUAAGUCAACUGUUAAAUCUCCCGGCCUAACUGGGAAUCAGCGGUAGAUACUGGCACACUAGAGGAUGGAAGAGAGAAGUGGAAUUCUUGGAGUAGAGGUAAAAUUCGUAGAUCUCAAGAGGAACACCGAUGGCGAAGGCAGCUUCUUGGUCCAUUUCUGACGCUCAGGUACGAAAGCGUGGGGAGCAAACAGGAUUAGAUACCCUGGUAGUCCACGCUGUAAACGAUGAUCACUAGACGUUGGUUCUACUCUGUAGAAUUAGUGUCGUAGCUAACGCGUUAAGUGAUCCGCCUGGGGACUACGGUCGCAAGAUUA
rnacentral:rRNA from 1 species